rnacentral:rRNA from 1 species
GAUGAACGCUGGCGGCGUGCCUAAUACAUGCAAGUCGAGCGAACAGACGAGGAGCUUGCUCCUCUGACGUUAGCGGCGGACGGGUGAGUAACACGUGGAUAACCUACCUAUAAGACUGGGAUAACUUCGGGAAACCGGAGCUAAUACCGGAUAAUAUAUUGAACCGCAUGGUUCAAUAGUGAAAGACGGUUUUGCUGUCACUUAUAGAUGGAUCCGCGCCGCAUUAGCUAGUUGGUAAGGUAACGGCUUACCAAGGCAACGAUGCGUAGCCGACCUGAGAGGGUGAUCGGCCACCCUGGAACUGAGACACGGUCCAGACUCCUACGGGAGGCAGCAGUAGGGAAUCUUCCGCAAUGGGCGAAAGCCUGACGGAGCAACGCCGCGUGAGUGAUGAAGGUCUUCGGAUCGUAAAACUCUGUUAUUAGGGAAGAACAAAUGUGUAAGUAACUAUGCACGUCUUGACGGUACCGAAUCAGAAAGCCACGGCUAACUACGU